rnacentral:lncRNA from 1 species
CUGGGCCACGGUGGGCGCCACAACGGAGUGGGCUCCUCUGCCACAAUUCCUGGCCUCUUCGGACUAGCACCCCUCAGAGAUGAGACGCUGAGGAAUGUGGAAAGGACUUUUGAGUUCUUUCUGUGAGCUCUGGGACUUAGCAAACCUAUAUGGUCCUGGCUCCAGUUUUCCACAAGCAGACUGUCCUUAGGAGCCACCACGUCCCCAGAGGCACGGAGGCCCACGACUGUCACUUCCUCUCCAAGCCUGUCUGCAGAGGACCCAACACAGCUCUCCAAAGCCAAAGCAGACUUCUUAUCCACAGUGAAAUCAACUGGACCAGAAAACAGCUCUGCACAUCCGGCUGUUGGAGCCUGUUUGGGCUGGACACAGCUCUGGUCUUCCUCAUGAACAGGUCUCCCCAAGCUCUUCCUCUCCCCGGCCUGGCUGGGGCUCUAGUGACAGUUGCAAGAAGGAUGUUUUGGUCAAAGGGCACUAAGCAUCGUAUAUUAUUCCAGGAUUCCCCCGGGCAUUUACUGUGCCUGUCUUCCAUUGCUACCAGAGGUGAGAGGAAGAGACUAACAGCACCUGAUCUGGGGAAAGCAGGGAGGAAGUCUGGAUAAAUCACAGUGCUCUAAAGCCUGGUUGAAGAGGCCCAGAGCAACAGGAGGGUAAAAACUAAGUACCUUCCUUGAGAAGGUGCCGGUUGAGAGACAGGAGCUUCCAAGGAGCAUUCACAGUCCUUAAUGGGUUCUCUGUGCCAG